GACUCGAAUACAGAAUCCAGUGGAAUAAUCAGUCGAUUUCAACUCGUUGCGUUCCGAAUUAUAUUUUCAUUUUUCAGUGCGUCGCUCAGCUUAAGCUAUUUUUAAACGCUUUACGUUCGUCGGAAUUCAUACGUGAAACAUGUGCGAUGCUUCGAGUAAAGUUAAUUUUGAUUAAAAGUCGUGAGCAUGUUCGCAGCAGUGUUUCAAUGAAAAAUAUUUCAACGAAACCUUGUAGUGUCGCGUCAGGACACGAAGAGUUGAAAGAAAGAACAAUGUUUAUCGAGGUUAUCCAAAGCUUCCUCGACCAAGCAGUGUAUUAUUGUGCAUGCGAUGCGAUGACGACGAUACCACAGGAAAUGACUAGGCGAGUGACGCGGUGGGACGUUAUCUGGCGAAAACUCGACUUUCCAAUGAAAAUUCGAUUGUUCCAGUGAAGAUACUCAAACUUUCCAUUGAAAAUUCAACUCGACGGGCAAGAAGUAUAAUUCAUCGCACCGAUGGAACGCAGGUGUUUAUCAUAGAGAAGAAAGAAAAAAAAUAGAAACAAACAGGCAACGUACGCGACAAGUGGUUGAUAUACAUUGUGUACAGUAUUGAAUGCAGUGUUCGCAAAUCGUUACACAACUUUAGUCGCGUUCCUCUUCCGUAGCUCAACCGUCCUUAAAUUUCCCGUUAUCACUCGUAUCGAUCGCUGGUCACAUACGUGGGCUCGUCAAUUGUAUACUUCAAUCAUAUACAUAUACAUAUAUGUAUGCAUGUAUGUAUAUAUGUGUAUAUAUAUAUAUAUAUAUAGAUAUAGAUAUAGAUAUAACUCUUUCUUUCAUAGUUUCCUUUUUCUCACUAUCGGAGAGUACAAAACCUACAUAAUUUACCUUAGCAAUUAUUUUGUCUUCGUACGACUGCCACAAUUGCACAAUUUUUAUUAUCGUUUGUAUUUUCUUUUUUCUCUCGUUUCUUUCUUUCUUUCUUUUUUUUCUUCUUUUCUCAUUAACUAGGCCGAUCCCGUUCGAUCCAUGGAGCCUUCGAUCUUUGAUCCUGCGCCGAUCCUACACAUUUUCACAUUUUUACUCUUUCUCUCUCUCCCUUCCUCUCUCUAUCUCUCGCUCACUUCUCUCGCGUUACAACACUGUCACGAUUAAGGCCAAGAUGGGUUUGUUCGUUGCUUUAAACGUAUCCAGGAAGAACACGCCGCGUUUCCAAUUCGUCGGAAAGCAAUCAUAACGAUAAACGCGUGUAUCGUUCGUGGUAAAUCGAGAAAAAAUAUAUAUUGUUUCUUCUGUUCGAUUGAAGAAAAACAACGAAGAAAAAGAAGAACAACUUGUAUCCCUGUCGUUCGGGAAAAUCGCUCGAUCGAGCAGCUCGAAU